UUUCGCAAUGCCCGAAAGGGUGACGAAGCGACGCCGCGUGUGGGAAGAAGGCCUUCGGGUUGUAAACCACUGUCGGGAGUUAAGAAAUGUAAGGGUGUUAAUAGUAUCCUUGCUUGACUAAGGCUCCGGAGGAAGCCACGGCUAACUCUGUGCCAGCAGCCGCGGUAAUACAGAGGCGGCAAGCGUUGUUCGGAAUUAUUGGGCGUAAAGAGCACGUAGGCGGCUAUGUAAGUCGGUUGUGAAAGCCUUCCGCUCAACGAGAAAACAGCAGUCGAUACUGCAUGGCUUGAGUGCGGGAGGGGAGAGCGGAACUUCUGGUGGAGCGGUGAAAUGCGUAGAUAUCAGAAGGAACGCCGGCGGCGAAAGCGACUCUCUGGCCCGUAACUGACGCUGAGUGUGCGAAAGCUAGGGGAGCAAACGGGAUUAGAUACCCCGGUAGUCCUAGCCGUAAACGAUGGGCACUAAGUAGAGGGGUUUUA
rnacentral:rRNA from 1 species